UACGAAGGGGGCUAGCGUUGUUCGGAAUCACUGGGCGUAAAGCGCACGUAGGCGGAUCUUUAAGUCAGGGGUGAAAUCCCGAGGCUCAACCUCGGAACUGCCUUUGAUACUGGGGAUCUCGAGUCCGGGAGAGGUGAGUGGAACUGCGAGUGUAGAGGUGAAAUUCGUAGAUAUUCGCAAGAACACCAGUGGCGAAGGCGGCUCACUGGCCCGGAACUGACGCUGAGGUGCGAAAGCG
rnacentral:rRNA from 1 species